CCUACGGGUGGCAGCAGUGGGGAAUAUUGCACAAUGGGGGAAACCCUGAUGCAGCGACGCCGCGUGAGUGAGGAAGUAUUUCGGUAUGUAAAGCUCUAUCAGCAGGGAAGUAAAUGACGGUACCUGACUAAGUAGCUACGGCUAACUCCGUGCCAGCAGCCGCGGUACUACGUAGGGGGCGAGCGUUAUCCGGAUUUACUGGGUGUAAAGGGAGCGUAGACGGCUAAUCAAGUCAGAAGUGAAAACCCAGGGCUCAACUUUGGGACUGCUUUUGAAACUGAGUAGCUAGAGUGCAGGAGAGGUAAGCGGAAUUCGUGGUGUAGCGGUGAAAUGCGUAGAUAUUAGGAGGAACACCAGUGGCGAAGGCGGCUUACUGGGCUGUAACUGACGUUGAGGCUCGAAAGCGUGGGGAGCAAACAGGAUUAGAUACCCCAGUAGUC
rnacentral:rRNA from 1 species